UUUAAACUGUUUUGAAACUACCUGUGCUAGCUUGUACAGUAGCCCCCUGCAGUCUUGCCUCACAACCUCCUCACUGUCCCCCAAGUGCACAGAUGUCUUAUGGUGAAGAUGGCUGUGUGCCUAUCAGCUGUUGGGAUUUUUUUUGUCUGUUGCUUGUAGUGUGCUAUAACACUUCUCUCUUCUGAGUAAAUGAAGAAAACUCUUCUGCAAAACAAGGUGUGGAGGGAGCAGAGCGUGUGUUCAUGAACUCUUUGGGAUGGCCUAGUUGAGCAGAUGGAACAUCAACCUUGGAACCUUCAAUCUCAGACGCUUUCCCAGACCCUGUAGUAUCAAGGACAAAUCACCUGUGGAGCUGCUCUGUACUCCUGUUUGCAGCAGCAGCAGAGACCCCUGGUCCUGUAACUAGGUUGAUGAAAUUGUCUGGUAUUCUUCAUCUGAUAGCCCAUCUGCCAUGUUUCCUUUGCCUUCUGCCUUCCUUAUCUGUAAAAAUUGUGCUGUUUGUUUUUCUUCCUCAAAAGAGACCAGGAUA